ACAUCGAAAGCUUGCUUUUGAUGGGCGUCGACCGGCGCACGGGUGAGUAACGCGUAUCCAACCUGCCCACCACUUGGGGAUAACCUUGCGAAAGUAAGACUAAUACCCAAUGAUAUCUCUAGAAGACAUCUGAAAGAGAUUAAAGAUUUAUCGGUGAUGGAUGGGGGAUGCGUCUGAUUAGCUUGUUGGCGGGGUAACGGCCUACCAAAGCAACGAUCAGUAGCCGAACUGAGAGGUUGAACGGCCACAUUGGGACUGAGACACGGUCCAAACUCC
rnacentral:rRNA from 1 species